AACGAACGCUAGCCGGGAUGCCUCAAACAUGCAAGUCGAACGAGAAAGUACCUUCGGGUGCGAGUACAGUGGCGCACGGGUGAGUAACACGUAGCUAACGUCCCCCCUCGCUCGGGGAUAACUCCGGGAAACCGGAGCUAAUACCGAAUGAUCUGCUACGGUCUGCGGACUGUAUCGGUAAAGCCUUCGGGCGCGAGGGGAUCGGGCUGCGCAACAUUAGCUUGAUGGUGGGGUAACGGCCUACCAUGGCGACGAUGUUUAGCUGGUCUGAGAGGAUGAUCAGCCACACUGGAACUGAAACACGGUCCAGACUCCCACGGGAGGCAGCAGUUGGGAAUAUUGGACAAUGGGGGAAACCCUGAUCCAGCAAUCCCGCGUGAGUGAUGAAGGCUCUCGGGUCGUAAAGCUCUUUCAGCAGGGAAGAAUAACUGACGGUACCUGCAGAAGAAGCACCGGCUAACUCCGUG
rnacentral:rRNA from 1 species